AACGAACGCUGGCGGCAUGCCUAACACAUGCAAGUCGAACGAGACCUUCGGGUCUAGUGGCGCACGGGUGCGUAACGCGUGGGAACCUGCCCUUAGGUUCGGAAUAACUCUCCGAAAGGGGUGCUAAUACCGGAUAAUGUCUUCGGACCAAAGAUUUAUCGCCUUUGGAUGGGCCCGCGUUGGAUUAGCUAGUUGGUAGGGUAAAAGCCUACCAAGGCGACGAUCCAUAGCUGGUCUGAGAGGCUGAUCAGCCACACUGGGACUGAGACACGGCCCAGACUCCUACGGGAGGCAGCAGUGGGGGAUAUUGGACAAUGGGCGGAAGCCUGAUCCAGCAAUGCCGCGUGAGUGAUGAAGGCCUUAGGGUUGUAAAGCUCUUUUACCCGGGAUGAUAAUGACAGUACCGAGAGAAUAAGCUCCGGCUAACUCCGUG
rnacentral:rRNA from 1 species